UCCGGAUUAGCUCAGCGGUAGAGCAGUAGACUGUUAAUCUAUUGGUCGCUGGUUCGAGUCCAGCAUCCGGAG
rnacentral:tRNA from 1 species